AACGCACAUUGCGCCCGCCAGUAUUCUGGCGGGCAUGCCUGUUCGAGCGUCAUUUCAACCCUCAAGCCCAGCUUGGUGUUGGGAUCUGUGUGCAAACACAGUCCCCAAAUUGAUUGGCGGUCACGUCGAGCUUCCAUAGCGUAGUAAUUUACACAUCGUUACUGGUAAUCGUCGCGGCCACGCCGUUAAACCCCAACUUCUGAAUGUUGACCUCGGAUCAGGUAGGAAUACCCGCUGAACUUAA
rnacentral:misc_RNA from 3 species